CAAAAUAUACCCAAAAACCUAUCCAGAUCCAUAUAAAAGUACAUCAUGUAUGUUUUGUGGUUUUGUACUCAAAAGUACAUCAUGUAUGUUUUGUGGUGGUGUGUGGUGGGGUGUGGAGGUGGUGUGGAGGUGGUGUAGUGGUGUGUGGAGGUGUGUGGUGGGGUGUGGAGGUGGUGUAGUGGUGUGUGGAGGUGUGUAGUGGUGUGUGGAGGUGGUGUAGUGGUGUGUGGAGGUGGUGUAGUGGGGUGUGGAGGCGUGUGGAGGUGGUGUAGUGGUGUGUGGAGGUGUCUGGUGGGGUGUGGAGGUGUGUGGAGGUGGUGUAGUGGUGUGUGGAGGUGUGUAGUGGUGUGUGGAGGUGUGUGGAGGUGGUGUAGUGGUGUGUGGAGGUGGUGUAGUGGGGUGUGGAGGCGUGUGGAGGUGUUGUAGUGGUGUGUGGAGGCGUGUGGAGGUGGUGUAGUGGUGUGUGGAGGUGUGUGGAGGUGGUGUAGUGGUGUGUGGAGGUGUGUAGUGGUGUGUGGAGGCGUGUGGAGGUGGUGUAGUGGGGUUUGGAGGUGGUGUAGUGGUGUGUGGAGGUGUGUGGUGGGGUGUGGAGGUGGUGUAGUGGUGUGUGGAGGUGUGUGGAGGUGGUGUAGUGGGGUGUAGUGGUGUGUGGUGGGGUGUGGAGGUGGUGUAGUGGUGUGUGGAGGUGGUGUAGUGGGGUUUGGAGGUGGUGUAGUGGGGUGUGGAGGUGGUGUAGUGGUGUGUGGAGGCGUGUGGAGGUGGUGUAGUGGUGUGUGGAGGCGUGUGGAGGUGGUGUAGUGGUGUGUGGAGGUGGUGUAGUGGGGUGUGGAGGUGUGUGGUGGGGUGUGGAGGUGGUGUAGUGGUGUGUGAUGGGGUGUGGAGGUGGUGUGGUGUGGUGUGGAGGUGGUGUGUGAAGGUGUGUGAUGGGGUGUGGAAGUGGUGGUGUGUGGCGGAGGUGGUGUGUGGAGGUGUGUGAUGGGGUGUGGUGGUGUGUGGAGGUGGUGUAGUGGGGUGUGGUGGUGUAGUGGGGUGUGGGUGUGGAGGGAUAAGAUGAGAUGAGUUCUGUUCUGAUGAGAUGAGAUCUGUUC
ensembl:lncRNA